rnacentral:rRNA from 1 species
GAUGAACGCUGGCGGCGUGCCUAAUACAUGCAAGUCGAACGAGUUCUUGUUGAUGAUCGGUGCUUGCACCAAGAUUCAACAUGGAACGAGUGGCGGACGGGUGAGUAACACGUGGGUAACCUGCCCUUAAGUGGGGGAUAACAUUUGGAAACAGAUGCUAAUACCGCAUAGAUCCAAGAACCGCAUGGUUCUUGGCUGAAAGAUGGCGUAAGCUAUCGCUUUUGGAUGGACCCGCGGCGUAUUAGCUAGUUGGUGAGGUAAUGGCUCACCAAGGCGAUGAUACGUAGCCGAACUGAGAGGUUGAUCGGCCACAUUGGGACUGAGACACGGCCCAAACUCCUACGGGAGGCAGCAGUAGGGAAUCUUCCACAAUGGACGCAAGUCUGAUGGAGCAACGCCGCGUGAGUGAAGAAGGCUUUCGGGUCGUAAAACUCUGUUGUUGGAGAAGAAUGGUCGGCAGAGUAACUGUUGUCGGCGUGACGGUAUCCAACCAGAAAGCCACGGCUAACUACGUGCCAGCAGCCGCGGUAAUACGUAGGUGGCAAGCGUUAUCCGGAUUUAUUGGGCGUAAAGCGAGCGCAGGCGGUUUUUUAAGUCUGAUGUGAAAGCCCUCGGCUUAACCGAGGAAGCGCAUCGGAAACUGGGAAACUUGAGUGCAGAAGAGGACAGUGGAACUCCAUGUGUAGCGGUGAAAUGCGUAGAUAUAUGGAAGAACACCAGUGGCGAAGGCGGCUGUCUGGUCUGUAACUGACGCUGAGGCUCGAAAGCAUGGGUAGCGAACAGGAUUAGACACCCUGGUAGUCCAUGCCGUAAACGAUGAAUGCUAGGUGUUGGAGGGUUUCCGCCCUUCAGUGCCGCAGCUAACGCAUUAAGCAUUCCGCCUGGGGAGUACGACCGCAAGGUUGAAACUCAAAGGAAUUGACGGGGGCCCGCACAAGCGGUGGAGCAUGUGGUUUAAUUCGAAGCAACGCGAAGAACCUUACCAGGUCUUGACAUCUUUUGAUCACCUGAGAGAUCAGGUUUCCCCUUCGGGGGCAAAAUGACAGGUGGUGCAUGGUUGUCGUCAGCUCGUGUCGUGAGAUGUUGGGUUAAGUCCCGCAACGAGCGCAACCCUUAUGACUAGUUGCCAGCAUUUAGUUGGGCACUCUAGUAAGACUGCCGGUGACAAACCGGAGGAAGGUGGGGAUGACGUCAAAUCAUCAUGCCCCUUAUGACCUGGGCUACACACGUGCUACAAUGGAUGGUACAACGAGUUGCGAGACCGCGAGGUCAAGCUAAUCUCUUAAAGCCAUUCUCAGUUCGGACUGUAGGCUGCAACUCGCCUACACGAAGUCGGAAUCGCUAGUAAUCGCGGAUCAGCACGCCGCGGUGAAUACGUUCCCGGGCCUUGUACACACCGCCCGUCACACCAUGAGAGUUUGUAACACCCGAAGCCGGUGGCGUAACCCUUUUAGGGAGCGAGCCGUCUAAGGUGGGACAAAUGAUUAGGGUG